CAGUAGCCGCGGUAAUACGAAGGGUGCAAGCGUUAAUCGGAAUUACUGGGCGUAAAGCGUGCGUAGGCGGUGAGUUAAGUCUGCUGUGAAAUCCCCGGGCUCAACCUGGGAAUGGCAGUGGAUACUGGCUCGCUAGAGUGUGUCAGAGGAUGGUGGAAUUCCCGGUGUAGCGGUGAAAUGCAUAGAGAUCGGGAGGAACAUCAGUGGCGAAGGCGGCCAUCUGGGACAACACUGACGCUGAGGCACGAAAGCGUGGGGAGCAAACAGGAUUAGAUACCCGAGUAGUCCCUGUCUCUUAUAA
rnacentral:rRNA from 1 species